GCUCACUCUGGAUGCUGUGUGGUGGAUAAAGACCACUCUGGACCGGCGUCAUGUGCUUUCUAUUAGCUUUAGCGUUGGCGGAAGAAGCCCCCUGUUGCAGCACUGGGCCACUGGCAUUGUGUGAAUCCGUACUGUGCAAAUGGAAAUGUGUACCUGUCACAUUGUCACAGUGCCAAGGACGUCUCUGAUAGGCCUUCAUUGAGAUUUCUGCUUUCUUGAAAUGACCCUGCGAAGAAGUCAUACCAAAACACAUUGAGGCACUGCACCAUCCCUUUCAUCUCCCCCUGCGAUGUGCCCAUCAAUCUGGAACAGUGUAAAUCAUUUCCUGCAGUCUGGAUGCUGUGGCACUGUCCUGCCUCUCACAGGGUGACAACAAGAUCUUGCGGGAGUUCCAGCUCGAACUUCUCCUCCGGUUUUACGAGGACGACUUGGAGUUCUUGACAGUCCACAAAAUAUACGAGCCUGUCUGGCUCCAGGCUGAUGGCCAACUGCACCCAUUCCCC